GCAAAUCUGAUGCUCCCCUCUUGCUCUUGCUCUUGAUCUUCAGUGUUCUUCAAUUUUCUUCAAUCUCCAAUGGCUAAUUAAGAACUAGGGUUUAGAUUCUAAUUUAAUGGAGUGUUUAGCCUAAUCUAAUCUAUGUAUUAUCCCCCUAUUUUAUGACUUACAUCAUGUAUUUAUAGGUUACAAGUCUAAUUUUUAGUUUAGGAACAAACCCAAUCCAAUUUGGAGUCAAAAAGGUGUCAAAAUUCGCUCAAAAACGCGUCCAGGCCAUCACCAAGCCCUUCCCCAGCGCCCCCAGCGCCCCAGCGCUGGGCUUGACGCUCAAACCCUGCCCCCAGUGCCCUGGAGCUGGGCAUAAGCCUAUUUUGGGUGCCCCGGUGCUAGCCCCAAGUUCUGACAUUUUCUGCUCCAACGUCCUUUGGGAAAAUAGUCAUAACCUCUUCGUCCGAACUCCGAUUUCGAUGAUUCAAGAUGAUCCGGAAAGAGGAAAAGUAGAUAUACAACUUUAAUUCUUUAAGUUUUUCGAAAUAAGAUCCGAAGUAAUACUCAAAUUGGCUCUGAAGUGACUGCUUUGUAAAUGGCAAGCCGAAAACGCAAAUCUAGCCACCCCGAACGUCGAUCCAAGUAACUUUUGUCCCAAUUCCUACAAAACAACGUAAAACAUGCAUGAAUAGACACAAACACUUAAAAUCAAACAAAAGAUUAAGCUCAAACUCACUCAAUUAUGAGUAUAAAACUCAUUCAUCAAAUACCCCAAACUUAAACAUUUGCUUGUCCUCAAGCAAAAACACAAAAGAACUAAAAAUAAACAAACUAACUCAACUACAUGAAUGUAUAUGCAUGAUCUACUUCCUAAUAUACCUACGAACCGAGUAAUAAAUCAGUAUGAUAUAUAGCAACAGGCCUCAAAGAUACCACGGGUACUCAAACAAUAUAUCCAAUCAAGUCAAAAUCCAUAACUCUAACCAAUUAGGUAAUCCAAACCUGUUAUCACCCAUGUUGUGUGUGUGUGCUUGUUAACCAUUCUAACCAACCACAGUUCAAGAUAAUCACAUAACAAACUUCUUAGAAGGAAAAUUUCAGUUCCAAUUCAAUUACUUUUGUGAACAUGACAACUCCGGUUAAAACUAAGUAAUUACCAAAGUCUUAAGGUAAAUAUAGGAUUUAUUUAUACUCUUAUUCAAUCACGAGGGCAUUUUUGCACUUUCUCGUGUUUUAUUCAUUUUUUUUUCUCAUGGCUGUGCAAUGUCUUAUUCCCUUAGGCUUUUCAGUGCUACCUUAACGAGCUUUUGACCAACGACUCCCAAGCCAUUAAGACCUUAGGGCGCUAGGUGUAAAGACAAUCCCCUCGGGCUUAUUUACUCAAGUAACAAAGGCCACAAAACUAGACAAGCAUGCCACGGUGUUUAUUCUCUUUUUUUUCUUUUUUUUUCUUUUUUUUUCAUUUGUUUUUCUUUUUGUAAUAUAUAUAUCCCAUAGAUUCCCCCAAACUCAAGAUUUUGCGUCAUUCUAACCUUUACUAUCAGUUCACUAAUUUCCUUAAAUUUUAACCAAGAUUUUCCCUCAGAAACAAAUUAUGAAACCCUUGAACCAAGUGGAUUAAAAUAGUUAAACUUUAAGUGCUAACCGGUUACAUAAGUUUAAGACAGGCUCAGAUUAUCAUCAUGAUUAAAAUUAGAACGCAUCAUCAAUUAUCAACACUGUUUAAGUUAACAUCCAAAACCAAUCUUAUCAUAGGCCGAGCUAAGACCACACUAACCGAUCACACAGAUUCA
rnacentral:lncRNA from 1 species